rnacentral:rRNA from 1 species
UGUGUAGGCGGGCUCGCAAGUUGGGUGUGUAAUACCCAGAGCUUAACUCGGGUGCUGCAUCUGAAACUACGAGUCUUGAGUGUCGGAGAGGUAAGUGGAAUUCCUAGUGUAGCGGUGGAAUGCGUAGAUAUUAGGAGGAACAUCAGUGGCGAAGGCGACUUACUGGACGAUAACUGACGCUGAGGCACGAAAGCGUGGGAGGCAAACA